UACAGGGGGGGCAAGCGUUGUUCGGAAUUACUGGGCGUAAAGGGUUCGUAGGUGGCCACUUAAGUCAGACGUGAAAUCCCUCAGCUUAACUGGGGAACUGCGUCUGAUACUGCGUGGCUUGAGUGCAGGAGAGGAAUGCGGAAUUCCGGGUGUAGCGGUGGAAUGCGUAGAGAUCCGGAAGAACACCGGUGGCGAAGGCGGCCUGCUGGGGUGGAGCUGACGCUGAGGCGCGACAGCGUGGGGAGCAAACAGG
rnacentral:rRNA from 1 species